UCCGGUUUGUCACCGGCAGUCUCCCAUGAGUCCCCAACCAAAUGAUGGCAACUAAGGGCGAGGGUUGCGCUCGUUGCGGGACUUAACCCAACAUCUCACGACACGAGCUGACGACAGCCAUGCGGCACCUGUCUCGGCGUCCCCGAAGGGAACCCGGCAUCUCUGCCGGUAGCACCGGAUGUCAAGGGCAGGUAAGGUUCUUCGCGUUGCGUCGAAUUAAACCACAUGCUCCGCUGCUUGUGCGGGCCCCCGUCAAUUCCUUUGAGUUUCAGCCUUGCGGCCGUACUCCCCAGGCGGGGCACUUAAUGCGUUAGCUCCGGCACGGGAGGAGUCGACACCUCCCACACCUAGUGCCCAUCGUUUACGGCGUGGACUAC
rnacentral:misc_RNA from 1 species